UAUUCACCCUUGUCUUUUGCGUACUUCUUGUUUCCUUGGUGGGUUCGCCCACCACUAGGACAAACAUAAACCUUUUGUAAUUGCAAUCAGCGUCAGUAACAAAUUAAUAAUUACAACUUUCAACAACGGAUCUCUUGGUUCUGGCAUCGAUGAAGAACGCAGCGAAAUGCGAUAAGUAGUGUGAAUUGCAGAAUUCAGUGAAUCAUCGAAUCUUUGAACGCACAUUGCGCCCUUUGGUAUUCCAAAGGGCAUGCCUGUUCGAGCGUCAUUUGUACCCUCAAGCUUUGCUUGGUGUUGGGCGUCUUGUCUCUAGCUUUGCUGGAGACUCGCCUUAAAGUAAUUGGCAGCCGGCCUACUGGUUUCGGAGCGCAGCACAAGUCGCACUCUCUAUCAGCAAAGGUCUAGCAUCCACUAAGCCUUUUUUUCAACUUUUGACCUCGGAUCAGGUAGGGAUACCCGCUGAACUUAAGCAU
rnacentral:rRNA from 1 species